CUACUGCCUUCACACCCUUAAGGAGUUAUACCAGCAGUAGCUGGCUAGAAGUGGCGGUUAACCAGGUUGGAAAAGGCCGAUGGGCCAGCUGGAGCAGGAGAGAGAAAGAAGCGCUUGGAUGAAGUUAUGUGCUCUGGGCUGCAGAGGAGAGACUCAAGCUUCUGUCCUGCCACCACUGGAGGCACAUUUUGUGUGUGGCGGUGUGGGGAACCCCGUGUGAUUCUCUGCCUCCUGCCACCGUUGUGCUCACAACAACCCUGCAAGGAAACAUCACCACCUCUGCCCUGUCCAGAGAAGCUUAAGACGGGCCCGGAGGGAUUAUGCUGUUCCGGAAAGAACAUUCUCAGGAGCAAAUUGGACGAAAGAGAGCAUCGGCGGAAGAAUUAAUGAUGGCGAACUUGCCCUGGCCUAGCCGGCAGAACUGAAUAGACGGCUCUCCUCCGGACCCACAAAAGCCCAUAUUCCUUCCCCACCCCAUGUCUUACUGCUUCAAGCCACAGAGACUUUAACAAGGGACGCUUUGUCCCCCUUUUAAAUAACCCCGUCACCAUAAUUAAUAGCAUGGACAGAACCCUGGUGGUGCUGUAGAGAGACUGAAGGGUCGCUUUCAGCAGCUUUUUCAUCUUCGCCCUGCCUCCUCCUUAUCCUUCUAAGCUGCAAAUGAAAUGGAAAGGAAAAGAAAAGAAAAGAACUAAAGGAAAGAACACAGAGGUCUUGGUUUUACUGAUCUCUCAUUUGUUAUGCCAAUGAGCA